rnacentral:rRNA from 1 species
UACAGAGGUGGCAAGCGUUGUUCGGAAUUACUGGGCGUAAAGGGCGCGUAGGCGGUUUCGUAAGUCCCGUGUGAAAGCCCCCGGCUCAACUGGGGAAUUGCACGGGAAACUGCGAGGCUUGAGUUCGGGAGAGGGAAGCGGAAUUCCGGGUGUAGCGGUGAAAUGCGCAGAUAUCAGGAGGAACACCGGUGGCGAAGGCGGGUCUCUGGGCCGAUAUUGACGCUGAGGAGCGAAAGCGUGGGGAGCGAACAGG